CCUGACUGCUAUCGGAUUGAUACUAAGCCAUGUGAGUCAUUGUAGCAAUACAAGGCAGACGGCUCAGUAACACGUAGCCAACCUACCCUAUGGACGGGGAUAACCUCGGGAAACUGAGGAUAAACCCCGAUAGAUCAUUAUGCCUGGAAAGGUUUAUGGUCCAAAUGAUUCGUCGCCGUAGGAUGGGACUGCGGCCUAUCAGCUUGUUGGUGAGGUAAUGGCCCACCAAGGCUAUUACAGGUACGGGCUCUGAGAGGAGAAGCCCGGAGAUGGGUACUGAGACACGGACCCAGGCCCUAUGGGGCGCAGCAGGCGAGAAACCUUUGCAAUGUGCGCAAGCACGACAAGGUUAAUCCGAGUGUUUCCUGCUAAAGGAAUCUUUUGUUAGUCCUAAAAACACUAGUGAAUAAGGGGUGGGCAAGUUCUGGUGUCAGCCGCCGCGGUAAAACCAGCACCUCAAGUGGUCAGGAGGAUUAUUGGGCCUAAAGCAUCCGUAGCUUGCUCUGUAAGUUUCCGGUUAAAUCCAUUAGCUCAACUAAUGGGCUGCCGGAAAAACUGCAAAGCUAGGAAGUGGGAGAGGUAGACGGUACUCGGUAGGAAGGGGUAAAAUCCUUUGAUCUAUUGAUGACCACCUGUGGCGAAGGCGGUCUACCAGAACACGUUCGACAGUGAGGGAUGAAAGCUGGGGGAGCAAACCGGAUUAGAUACCCGGGUAGUCCCAGCUGUAAACGAUGCAGACUCGGUGAUGCACUGGCUUGUGGCCAGUGCAGUGCCGCAGGGAAGCCGUUAAGUUUGCCGCCUGGGAAGUACGUACGCAAGUAUGAAACUUAAAGGAAUUGGCGGGGGAGCACCACAAGGGGUGAGGCCUGCGGUUC
rnacentral:rRNA from 1 species